GAUCAUGGCUCAGGAUGAACGCUGGCGGCGUGCUUAACACAUGCAAGUCGAACGGAGUUUUUAAACGGAAGUUUUCGGAUGGAAGUUUAGAAACUUAGUGGCGGACGGGUGAGUAACGCGUGGGUAACCUGCCUCAUACAGGGGGAUAACAGUUAGAAAUGACUGCUAACACCGCAUAAUAUAGCGAAACCGCAUGAUUUUUGCUAUCAAAUAUUUAUAGGUAUGAGAUGGGCCCGCGUCUGAUUAGCUAGUUGGUGGGGUAAAAGCCUACCAAGGCGACGAUCAGUAGCCGGCUUGAGAGAGUGACCGGCCACAUUGGGACUGAGACACGGCCCAAACUCCUACGGGAGGCAGCAGUGGGGAAUAUUGGACAAUGGGGGAAACCCUGAUCCAGCGAACCGCCGCGUGAGUGAAGAAGUAUUUCGGUAUGUAAAGCUCUAUCAGCAGGGAAGAUAAUGACAGUACCUGACUAAGAAGCCCCGGCUAACUACGUGCCAGCAGCCGC
rnacentral:rRNA from 1 species